GACAAACGCUGGCGGCGUGCUUAACACAUGCAAGUCGAACGCUGAAGCUCAGCUUUUGUUGGGUGGAUGAGUGGCGAACGGGUGAGUAACACGUGAGUAACCUGCCCCCUUCUUUGGGAUAACUCCCGGAAACGGGUGCUAAUACUGGAUAUUCACUGGUCUUCGCAUGGGGGUUGGUGGAAAGGGUUUUUCUGGUGGGGGAUGGGCUCGCGGCCUAUCAGCUUGUUGGUGGGGUGAUGGCCUACCAAGUGUUUGACGGGUAGCCGGCCUGAGAGGGUGACCGGUCAGAUUGGGACUGAGAUACGGCCCAGACUACUACGGGAGGCAGCAGUGGGGAAAAUUGCACAAUGGGCGCAAGCCUGAUGCAGCGACGCAGCGUGAGGGAUGGAGGCCGUCGGGUUGUGAACCUCUUUCGCUAAUGGUCAAGCCGCAACAAUGGUUGUGGUGAGGGUAGUGGGUAAAGAAGCGCCGGCUAACUACGUG
rnacentral:rRNA from 1 species